rnacentral:lncRNA from 1 species
CAGAAUGCCAUGUCUUCUUUUAAAGAGAAGAUACAAAACAAGGUGGAAGUAUGUGUAUUACGUCAUCUUAGCGAUUACCAUGACAACUCUAGUGACAAUGUACUAUAGGGAUAACGAAAAAUCUCUAUGGCCUAUUCCUCACUAUGGGAUAAUAUCCAACACAUAUUAACCGUAUGUGAAAACAUUUCCAGAUCGACAGUUCGGACCCGAUAAAACAAAUAAAGUUAUACUGCUAUGGACUAAGUACUUUGAAACGUACGAAUGGCUUCAUACAAUACCAUCACAAACAAAACACUGUCCGAAGCAAUGUAUGAUUACAAACAAUAGAGAGGAUUUAUCACAAAGCGAUGCAGUACUAUUUCAUUUUACAGACAAAGAUUUGUUUUUAAACGAUUUACCAACUAAAAGGCUUCUUUCACAGGUAUGGGCUUUAUUAAUAAUGAACCUAAUAUUUGAGACGAUACAGAUUUCGUCUGGCUUUUGAGGACAGUAAUUGUCGAGACUAUGUUACUGAGAAAUACUGGGAUACUCUUUCUAAAGGAAUCAUCCCUGUAGUCAAUUGGAAAGCAGCUCAACGAGAUGUACCUGUACCGCCUCAUUCAUAUAUUAAUGUUUAUGAUUUUCCACAUAUAAAAAGUCUCGCCGAAUAUCUUACUAAAGUUAGUCGGAAUAGCACGUUAUUUCAGAGUUAUUUUAAAUGAAGAGACCAUUUUCAGAUUUAUACUUCGUUCUGGAAUAGUUUUUGUAAAUUUUGAACCGCUCUCUACGACAAAAGUGUUCCAGCUAAAGUAUAUACGGAUCUAGAGGGAUGGCUGAGGGAUGAUUACUGCCAACGAUUUACAGUAAGUUAAGACCUGGUUUUGUGUGGUAUAAAACUUACAUAUAAUCAUUUUUUUCUUGUUAAUCAUAACAUAUUUUAUAAUUAUAUUUUUUUCUUCUCGCACACAAUUCCUAAUAUAUGUAUAUUCUUCAAGGUAACAAAAUGUGCAUAUCUUCAAUGUACAUUAAAAAUGCCCGGUGACCCAUACGUUUAUUUAUAAUUUUGAAAAAUAAAUUGCACGAAAUAAACUUUAAUUUUUUACACAAUAGGCAGCCUGAACACAUUUUUAGUUUGAUAAUUUGACUAAUAACCAUAUACAAUGUAUUUUUCUUUUUUUUCAGUUCCAGAAUCAAAUAAAAAGAUUAAUCAAGAGAUUUUUGUUUGACGGCAAUCUUGUUGAUUUGCGAAUAUUUAAUUAAUCAAUUAUUCU